GACAGAGGUGCCAAGCGCUAGGCGGAAUCACUGGGCUUAAAGCGUGUGUAGGCGGAAGCGUAAGUGCCUUGUGAAAUCCCACGGCUCAACCGUGGAACUGCUGGGCAUACUGCGUUUCUUGAGCCAGCCAGGGGUCGUCGGAACAAACGGUGGAGCGGUGAAAUGCGUAGAUAUCGUGUGGAACGCCAAAGGCGAAAGCAGACGACUGGGGCUGAGCUGACGCUGAGACACGAAAGCCAGGGGAGCAAACGGG
rnacentral:rRNA from 1 species